rnacentral:misc_RNA from 1 species
GAUGAAGAACGCAGCGAAAUGCGAUAAGUAAUGUGAAUUGCAGAUUUCAGUGAAUCAUCGAAUCUUUGAACGCACCUUGCGCCUUGUGGUAUUCCACAAGGCAUGCCCGUUUGAGUAUCAUUAAAUCAUCAACUCUAAAACCUUUGUGGUUUUUUUAGAGCUUGGUCUUGAGGGUUUUGCAGGCUUUUUUUUUUUCGAGUCUGCUCCCUUUAAAUGCAUUAGCGAGACUUCCCUAUGCUGAACCGUCUCUUUGACGUGAUAAUUAUCUGCGUCGAAUUUUGGUUCUCGUUGGGCUUGCUUCUAAUCGUCUGUUAAAGACAAAACGGAUUUGGGUGCAUAUAUGCGCCUUUUUCCAAAACCUUUUUUGAUCUCAAAUCGGGUAGGACUACCCGCUGAACUUAAGCAUAUCAAUAAGCGGAGGA